UUAUCCAACGGUGGUGCCAAAUUGCCGCCCAAAACAUCUUGUGUGGAAAAUUUGGAGGGAAUUUUGGACGCGUUAGUUUGAAUCUGCCGCCCAAAAUAAUUUUGAUUGAAAUCUAGAUUCUGAUAGAAACUUUAAAAUUGAAAUAUCAAUCAGAAACCCUCGAACUUUCUCCGCUCUCGUUUUGAAACCUAACUCUUUAGAAUUGAACUCCUCGAAUUUCACAUCUUCGAUUUCUCACCUUUCUUUCUCUGUCUCAAUUCGUCUAUAAAAUCCUCCUUUUCCCCUAGCCCUUUUCUUCGAAUUAAAGAAAAAGUGAUGAUUUUCUGCAAAGUGGGUUUCAUUUUCUGUAAUUAGGGUUGAUACUUUUGAACUGAGUGUUGGUGUAAUAGGGGAAAUCCGAUUGAAAUGGAAAUUGGAUAAUGAGAUUGUUUGAAAGGGAAUCAGAAGAUGAACUGGAGAAUUUUAGUCACCACUACUGAAAGCUCACGUUUCAGAUGAAUAACUUUCUCAGAGAGAAAAAGUGCAGGGCUUCCCAACCAAAGGAUGCGUCAUGGUCUAACUGUGCCAAAAACUGAUUGAUGUAGUGGGGUUUUCAAGUCUUUUGGUUUUCUAAUCUGUAGUCUGUUUGUUUCUGCAGGGAUUGUUGAGAUGGAAUUGGAGGUGAAUUAAGAUGCUGGGAUGAAUUACUACCGUAUGUCUUUGGACUAAUCUUGAAGAAAAAAUCCAUGCAAGAUAUUCUGAUUGUGAUUCCGACUGAGGAUUGGAGUGCUUGCAUUUACAGGACAAAAUUAAUUAAGUCAUUGAAAUUCUCAUUACUAGAAGCUGUGGUGCCAUUAGUAAGCCUGGAAUUACUGGACUUUUUGGCGAGUGCAUGCUUUGCCUCAUUGCUACUGUGGACACAAAGGACAAUAUUGCAAUCACAUUUUGCAAGUUAGGAAGGAUAUUUCCCCAUAUUUUUUUCCGUGAUGACGCAUUUUCAUUCAUCUAGCAGAACAAGCAAAGGUUGUUGGUCCAGUGUAGUAUAGUUGGAUGUUUUCGAUUGAGAGGAGGGUCUGCCAAUCAUGUUUUCUGUGUGCAACAAAAUAAAAGGGAGAGGGAGAAAAUGUAGAAGAACAAACACAAGAUAUCUUGGAGCCCGCAAAGCUACCGAAGUCGACGCUUGCAGAGUGGCCUCCGCGAAACUCUGCAUUUCUAAUUUAUCAACUGUUACUGACAAAGUAUGCAGUGCAGGCCUCUUAGAGAGUCUCAAGCAAUUUGUUUUCCCCCUUUCAGUAGGAUAUAAUCUUAAUACAUGAUUUUCUUAAAGUGUUCUCAUGAUAACAAAAAAUAUGUAAUGUUAAACUGCUUCAACAUAUAAAAUCCAACAGUGGAGUUUCAAAGUAAAAACAGAAAUGUUGUAAUUUGUUUAUACAGGAAUCUAUGUACAAACUGUUGUAAUUCAUGAAAAACGUCAAAAAAAUAGCUUUUGAACUGUUGAAACUUAGGUCA